rnacentral:rRNA from 1 species
AGUGAACGCUGGCGGUAGGCCUAACACAUGCAAGUCGAACGGCAGCACAGUAAGAGCUUGCUCUUACGGGUGGCGAGUGGCGGACGGGUGAGGAAUACAUCGGAAUCUACUUUUUCGUGGGGGAUAACGUAGGGAAACUUACGCUAAUACCGCAUACGACCUACGGGUGAAAGCAGGGGAUCUUCGGACCUUGCGCGAUUGAAUGAGCCGAUGUCGGAUUAGCUAGUUGGCGGGGUAAAGGCCCACCAAGGCGACGAUCCGUAGCUGGUCUGAGAGGAUGAUAGGCCACACUGGAAGUGAGACACGGUCCAGACUCCUACGGGAGGCAGCAGUGGGGAAUAUUGGACAAUGGGCGCAAGCCUGAUCCAGCCAUACCGCGUGGGUGAAGAAGGCCUUCGGGUUGUAAAGCCCUUUUGUUGGGAAAGAAAAGCAGCAGGUUAAUACCCCGCUGUUCUGACGGUACCCAAAGAAUAAGCACCGGCUAACUUCGUG